rnacentral:rRNA from 1 species
GCAACGGAUAUCUCGGCUCUUGCAUCGAUGAAGAACGUAGCGAAAUGCGAUACUGGGUGUGAAUUGCAGAAUCCCGUGAACCAUCGAGUCUUUGAACGCAAGUUGCGCCCGAAGCCAUUAGGCCGAGGGCACGCCUGCCUGGGUGUCACACAUCGUUUCCCCAACGCAAACAUGUAACAAUGUUGCUGCGCGGGGUGUAUGCUGACCUCCCGCGAGCACCCGCCUCGUGGUUGGUUGAAAUCUGGGUUCAUGGCCGACUUCGCCGUGAUAAAAUGGUGGAUGAGCCACGCUCGAGACCAAUCACGUGCGAGCCGGUCAGUUCUGGACCCAUCGACGACCCUUUGCGUGCACGCACGCUCCCAACGAGACCUCAGGUCAGGCGGGGCUACCCGCUGAG